rnacentral:rRNA from 11 species
UUUGGUGGCGAUAGCGAAGAGGUCACACCCGUUCCCAUGCCGAACACGGAAGUUAAGCUCUUCAGCGCCGAUGGUAGUCGGGGGUUUCCCCCUGUGAGAGUAGGACGCCGCCAAGC